rnacentral:rRNA from 1 species
GACGAACGCUGGCGGCGUGCUUAACACAUGCAAGUCGAACGGAAAGGCCCUGCUUUUGUGGGGUGCUCGAGUGGCGAACGGGUGAGUAACACGUGAGUAACCUGCCCUUGACUUUGGGAUAACUUCAGGAAACUGGGGCUAAUACCGGAUAGGAGCUCCUGCUGCAUGGUGGGGGUUGGAAAGUUUCGGCGGUUGGGGAUGGACUCGCGGCUUAUCAGCUUGUUGGUGGGGUAGUGGCUUACCAAGGCUUUGACGGGUAGCCGGCCUGAGAGGGUGACCGGCCACAUUGGGACUGAGAUACGGCCCAGACUCCUACGGGAGGCAGCAGUAGGGAAUAAUGCACAAUGGGCGGAAGCCUGAUGCAGCAACGCCGCGUGCGGGAUGACGGCCUUCGGGUUGUAAGCCGCUUUCGCCUGUGACGAAGCGUGAGUGACGGUAAUGUGUAAAGAAGCACCGGCUAACUACGUG